UGGGGAAUUUUGCGCAAUGGGGGAAACCCUGACGCAGCAACGCCGCGUGGGUGAUGAAGGCCUUCGGGUCGUAAAGCCCUGUCGGGAGGGAAGAAAUGAUUGAGAGCUAAUACCUCUUGGUCUUGACGGUACCUCCGAAGGAAGCACCGGCUAACUCCGUGCCAGCAGCCGCGGUAAUACGGAGGGUGCAAGCGUUGUUCGGAAUUAUUGGGCGUAAAGCGCGUGUAGGCGGUCUUUUAAGUCUGAUGUGAAGGCCCCGGGCUCAACCUGGGAAGUGCAUUGGAAACUGGGAGACUUGAGUACGGGAGAGGAGAGUGGAAUUCCUAGUGUAGGAGUGAAAUCCGUAGAUAUUAGGAGGAACACCGGUGGCGAAGGCGGCUCUCUGGACCGAUACUGACGCUGAGACGCGAAAGCGUGGGUAGCAAACAGGAUUAGAUACCCUGGUAGUCCACGCCGUAAACGAUGAGUACUAGGUGUUGCGGGUAUUGACCCCUGCAGUGCCGUAGCUAACGCAUUAAGUACU
rnacentral:rRNA from 1 species